ACGUAGGUGGCAAGCGUUGUCCGGAAUUAUUGGGCGUAAAGCGCGCGCAGGCGGUCCUUUAAGUCUGAUGUGAAAGCCCACGGCUCAACCGUGGAGGGUCAUUGGAAACUGGGGGACUUGAGUGCAGAAGAGGAAAGUGGAAUUCCACGUGUAGCGGUGAAAUGCGUAGAGAUGUGGAGGAACACCAGUGGCGAAGGCGGCCUUCUGGACUGACACUGACGCUGAGGCGCGAAAGCCAGGGGAGCAAACGGGA
rnacentral:rRNA from 1 species